GGGGAAAUAAAUUCUGAGAGAGACAAGUGAAGAAGUGCUGCACUGGAUAGCACUAGCAUAUCUUGUCCACAUAGCACAUGGCUGUUUGCAGUGACUGCUUUUUCCUGGAUAGGGGGGUCCCCGAAUAUCAGAAGUUCAGUACAAGUUGUUAAAUGAUUUUGUUGGUUGAUAAACAGUACAAGAAUUUAGUGGAAGGGAAAUAAUGAUAUCCUAUCUUGUCACUACCUUGUAAUAUUAGAACAUAGAGGAAAAUAAGAGUAAACAGCCAUUUUGGUCCCUGAUUGUGUUCACUUAUGACGGAUUGGUCCUCAUACUUUGGAAAUUGUUGUUUUUCAUCCCUGAAUGUGUUGCCGUCGGUCAAGUUAGUCCUUGGUUCAGUUUUCCGUUAGUCCUUGAGACGGAAAAAUCCAAAUGGCAUGUUUUUUUUUCCACACAAGCGUCCUACGUGGCACAUUUUCAUUUCUCCUCCCUAAAAAGUAAAAACAAUGUCAAACCGGUCCCUCAAGCUUCCACACACACUCUCUCUCUCUCUCCUUCCUCCUGCUCUUCUUCAUCAUCAUCAUGUUCAUCUUCAUCAUCUUCUCCAGACUUCAUCAUCAUCAAUUCAUUAUCUUCUUCAUUUCAAUCACGCCCCUUGCCUCUCAUGCUCUCCUUCACCCUCUGUAUCAUUCUUCUCCCUUCACCCUACGUUCAUCCUCUUUUCUCCUCCUUCCUCCAAACCUGCCUCAACUCAGAUCCGCACCACUGUAACAUGCACCGCGCAAUCAGGACCAGAUCGCGACCCAUGCCUCCAAAUUUUGCAUCUUUUGGGUCAACAAUGCAUCUUUACAUCCAAUGAGGCUUGGAUCUGGUGGUUUUUGCUUGGUUUUGAAAUGAACAGUGGUUGGGUGAAGAAGAAGCAAAGUUGCAGAGACGGUAGAGGAUGAAGAAGAAGAAGGGGGUUUUGAUUUUGACAAACCAAAGUGUGAUUUUCUGAAACCAUCGUGCUUACACCUCGUUGAAGAAGCCUUCAAUUUCAUCUACCAGUAAUCCUUGCAUCCUUUUCCCAGAUUUCGUUUUUCCCCUUCAAUUUCAUCUACCAGUAAUUUUGCUCUGUCAUUUUGUUGUUCCAUUGCUGUGUAAUUUGGGAGGAAUUUUUUCCUCUAACUCUUAAUAUAUGAUAUCAGUUUCUUUUGCAAAAUAUAUAUAUAGCUCAAAUCACUUGUAGCCUUAACUGACAAAGCAAAGUAAUAUGCUUUGAGCUUGACUAUAGUGUGUUACAGUACUUGCUGGAAGAAGCUUUCUUGCGUCUGUUGCUGUAAUUGUGAGUUUUCGAUGUGAGAUUUUUUAUGAAGAUGAUAAUAAAGAAAAUCUGGGGUUUAUGAAGAAAAUGAAGAUGUAGGGAUGAAGAAUAAGAAAAUCUGGGUUUAAUAAGAAAAAGAAGAUGAAGGAUGAUGAAGAUGAACAUGAUGAUGAUGAUGAUGAAGAAGAGCUAGAGGAAGAAGCAUAAGUUAGGGACGAGUUUGACAUUAUUUUUUAGGAGGGAAAAUGAAAAUGUGCCACGUAGGACGCUUGUGUGGAAAAAAAACUUGUCAUUUGGAUUUUUCCGUCUCAAGGACUAACGGAAAACUGAACCAAGGACUAACUUGACCGACGGCAACACAUUCAGGGAUGAAAAACAACCAUUUCCAAAGUAUGAGGACCAGUCCAUCAUAAGUGAACACAAUCAGGGACCAAAAUGGCUGUUUACUCGGAAAAUAAAGACAACAGUGCUCAACGGUUACCAUAUCAAAAUCCUUACAAGGAGGACAUAACCCAAUUUAUUCUCAGCUCUUAGUUCUAGUUCCAAGCUACAACUGAACUACAUAUGAAGGUUAAGUUCAUGUAUGGAAAACUUUAUUCUAAAGCCAAAAUCAAUUCAUUUGUGAGUGAGCAGCUUGUGAGUGUUGAAAUUGAUUCUGAAGAGAAAAAAACUUAUCGAAA